rnacentral:rRNA from 1 species
UACAGAGGUCUCAAGCGUUGUUCGGAUUCAUUGGGCGUAAAGGGUGCGUAGGUGGUGAUGCAAGUCUGGUGUGAAAUCUCGGAGCUCAACUCCGAAAAUUGCACCGGAUACUGCGUGACUCGAGGACUGUAGAGGAGAUCGGAAUUCACGGUGUAGCAGUGAAAUGCGUAGAUAUCGUGAGGAAGACCAGUUGCGAAGGCGGAUCUCUGGGCAGUUCCUGACACUGAGGCACGAAGGCCAGGGGAGCAAACGGG